rnacentral:rRNA from 1 species
UACGUAGGCAGCAAGCGUUGUUCGGAGUUACUGGGCGUAAAGGGUGCGUAGGCGGCUUUUUAAGUUUGGUGUGAAAUCUCCCGGCUCAACUGGGAGGGUGCGCCGAAUACUGGGAGGCUAGAGUGUGGGAGAGGAAAGUGGAAUUCCUGGUGUAGCGGUGAAAUGCGUAGAUAUCAGGAGGAACACCGGUGGUGUAAACGGCUUUCUGGACCAUAACUGACGCUGAGGCACGAAAGCGUGGGGAGCAAACAGG